AAAAGACUUAACCACUCUUCUUGCUUCGGAAGUCCUCCUUCAUUGAUAAAAAUUUCUUUCUGCACUGGUUCAUGGUUUUCCCGGGAAUAGCAGCAGCAACCCGUUCCCAACGCUGAUUCACAUCCUUUGGGAAUGUCUUUAGCGCCUGAAUGAGAGCUCUUUCUUGGGUAGCAGACCAUGUGUCUUGUUCAGGGACAGAAGGAACCCCAUUGGGAAGGGAAACAGGAGUACCGUCUGGCUUUUCAGGACUGCUGCUGCUCAAAG
rnacentral:misc_RNA from 1 species